AGGAAAGAAGUUACAGUGUCUGUCAUCACCACUAAGAAAACAGCUGAAACUCCACAUGGGACAAGAACAGCGUUCAAUAGGUGGUCCUGGGCUGCAUAGGAAAGCAGGCUGAGCAAGACAUAGAGAGGAAGACAACAAGUACCACUCCAUGGCCUACUUCAGUUCCUGCUUUGAAUUACUGCCUUGACUUCUCAAGAUAAUGGACUACAAAUGGAUAUGGGAGGCUUGAGCAAAUACUAUGAAUCUCUCAAGGAGCUAUGGAUUACCUUAAAAGGCUAGACAACAGAGCCACGGCACAGGAAGUCUGCCCUGGAUGCUAUCCUGCUGGGAAUUGGCCCUCUGAAACAGAUCCAUCCACCCGAUGAGUCAUGACAUUAAAAAUGAUGAAGGAAAUGGACUGGUCCCCAGACAAACAGCUCGGGGCAAUACGAUUCCUGCAUCCAAAGGACUAUGGGUUACAGACACCUCUCUCUUCUGGGAUACAACGUGUAAAAGCCGGAUUGAGAUCUCUAUGCCUGUUCUUCAACUGCUGUGGCUACCACUAUUCCAAGAGACAGAAUAAGAAAGUUAAAGACAACAAGAAAUGGGUCUGUAAGGCCCGAAGUGAGUGGUGUGGCAAACGACUGGACUCACUCACAUGAAUAUAAGGCUAAUCCAUUCAGGAACAGACUAAGUCUCGUCCUGACCUACUUGUCGUUUUUCUGUAAAGACCACUCGAGGUUUUAUCAACUUGAUCAACAGUUCUUUCCUAGGGUGGUGAUUGAAUCGUUAAUCUACUCUAGCAGCAAUGUCUGAAAAGAGACCGAGCACUGUUAUUUUGAGUGCCAGAGAUAUUGCCCAGUGAGGGGCUGGAAGACCCUUAGAAUUUUUAUACAAUUCUUAGAAGGAAGAGGGAAGUGAGGGCAGCAAGCAGAGCAGAACUCCAUCACAGCAUAAAGUCCUCGAGAUCAACCGAGACACACCCACCCAUUGUGGUAAUGCUAACAGUAAGAGAAAUGCCAAGAUUUCAGGCUGUGGACUGUGUUCCAGUGGCAAGCAGCAGAGAUCCAUGUUUAGCUUGUGUUUCCUUGUGAUUCAAGGGCCCAUGGCAUGUCUCUGGAUAAGCAGAUUGCCAUGGAUCGAGGUACUCGGCCCUGAGUGGAGAGAGUGAGGGAAUGAAGAACAGACAAACAGACAAACAGGCAGGCACAAGGAAAGCUGGGAUCAGAGAGAAGCUUGUUAAAAGACAGGAUGCUGAAAGAGGAGAUGAAACAUUUCAACCUGAAGGGAAGUGCUUUAAGAUGCAGGAUGUAAAACAAUGAAAUGCUGGAAGAAGAGCUCAAACACUCCAUUCUUUAAAAAGGCUUCUUAAACUCAGGAAAUAAACAACUGAAUAACUUCAGAAA
rnacentral:lncRNA from 1 species